UUUUCAGAAAAGAAAUAAACUGUCCGAAAUUGAGGACGAAUCUUUCUCGACACAAGAUUUAACAUCAGGGGCAGUGGAAGGCAUAGCAACGGUCAUAGAGGAGAAUGAUGUGAAAACUCACACAACCAUACAGCUGUGUGAUGGAAUCCGGCCCAAGUCUUUCGUGCGGGUUCUACAGUUCCUCUACACAGGUACAGCCUUCUCCAUUAAUAAAUCCACAAUUUGAAAAGAAAAAGAAUUUUACCUAGCUUUGGAUUAGUCCCUUUUUUGCAAUAUAGGAUUGCCCAAUCUACCAAAGGACGUUAUGGGUAUUGAAGACGAAAUCCACGAUGUAAGCAGAUUGGCCAAAAUGUUUGGAUUUGGACAACUAGAGACAAUCUGUGAUAACUGUUUGAAGGAGAUGGAUUUUUUUAAUCCAAGCAUUGGGACGUUUUUCAACGAUGAAACAGGAAAACGAAUGAAAGAUAUGUUCUUGAACAACCCUGAAUAUGCCGACGUCAUCUUCCAUAUUGAAGGAACAAAAAUUUACGCCAACAAAGUUGUUCUCGGGGCGAGAUGUGAGGUUAUGUCGGCCAUGUUUGGAGGAAGUUUUGUAGAGAGUCAGAGUACUGUGUCCGAGGUCCAGCUAAUGGAAGUGACGUCAGAGUGUUUCAUGGCCCUCAUGGAGUACCUCUACUCGGACCACGCCCCUAUUGAGGACGGUGACUCGGUUGGGAUCAUGGUACUGGCGGAUGAAUACGGUCAAAAGAGACUGGUAAAUCUCUGUGAGCUUUACAUCACCAAAGAAGUGGAUCGAAGUGUAACCAAGCAAAUCGAGAAAUCAGAAGUUGACGUCAUAGGCCUGUUACUGACGUCUCAGCUAUAUAAUGCAGAGCAGCUCUCUAACUGGUGUCUCCACUUCAUAUCUUCUAACUACAUUGCAUUCGAGAAAAGACAGGAAUUCUCCUUGCUAACCGGAAGUAAUAUAGAGCACGUGGAGGAGCACAGGUGGCCGCCAUUGUCCUAUUUAGAGGAAGUGAAACAGUAUGAGAAAGAGAUGGAGAAAAUGGGAGAGAAGUGUAGUGUUAUGUGAUAUAAUACUAGAAUCCCCAAUUUAAGUAAAAAUAAAAGAGCUGUUGGAAUAACAAAUCCGGUUACAUUUUACGCUUUCGCAUUAUUCAGGCAUGCGCAUUCCCAAAUCUUCUCUGCAAGGAGACAGUGCAUUAGUGAUGGGAAAUAGCUCUGAAGGCGUACAUGUACCAGUGAUUUAGUCAUUUGUGUAAGGAUACAAGUUGUCUGGUUGAAAUGUAUCGCACAAGUACUGAAAUUGGUUAAUAUGGUAGGAUAUCGACAUAUGCAUAUAUAGCGACAGUACUAAUUGUGAACGGAGCCAGUUCUUCAAUUAAAUAUCCGAUGAAAUAUUUUCUCCAAUAUUGAAGUGUAGUAUAAAAACUAGUAAUGCAUAUGUACAUGUAUCAAAAUUUUAAAUUCUCCCUCACUUUGUUAAUUCAAAUUAAAAACAAUUUAGCGCUGAACCAUCGGUCUCUGGUGACUGCACGCGAGCCAUCGGACUUUGGCGUACUUAAUCGUCUGGGUUUACGCAGACGAUCGGACUUUACCGUGACCAUCAAGCUUUAAAAUUCCUUCACACUUUGGAGUUUUACAAAUAUAUCCUAGUCAAAAACUACGCAAAAUUUUAUUAGACCAGUUCAAGCAGUCGUAGUAUAGAGAGAGGUAGAAAAGGGUUAAAUUUCACGCUUUUUAAAAGAUCACUGGAUAAUGAAUUUACCGACAAGACUACGUAAGAAAUAUUGUUUUUUUUAAACGGAUGAUGCAAACUACUUAUUGAGACAAGUAGAUAAUGAUAUUCUUAGAGAGAACAUAAAUUGUACAUUAUGUGACUGUAAUGAAAUUGCGAUGAAAUUGAGGAUAAAUUUCAUUAUCUUUUCUAAUGUUCUGAUGUAUGUAUAUCAGAUUCAAGAGUUACAUGUAUGUAUGUAUGUAUGUAUGUAUGUAUGUAUGUACGAAAAUAUUUCAUAUCAAAUCAAAGUACUUUUCAAUUUGAUACAUUGCUCAAUGUCACAAAUAAAAACCAACUUAUCAAU
rnacentral:misc_RNA from 1 species